CCUACGGGAGGCUGCAGUGGGGAAUAUUGCACAAUGGGCGAAAGCCUGAUGCAGCAACGCCGCGUGAGCGAUGAAGGCCUUCGGGUCGUAAAGCUCUGUCCUCAAGGAAGAUAAUGACGGUACUUGAGGAGGAAGCCCCGGCUAACUACGUGCCAGCAGCCGCGGUAAUACGUAGGGGGCUAGCGUUAUCCGGAAUUACUGGGGGUAAAGGGUGCGUAGGUGGUUUCUUAGGUCAGCGGUAAACGGCUACGGCUCAACGGUAGAAAGCCUUUGAAACUGGGACACUUGAGUGCAGGAGAGGAGAGUGGAAUUCCUGGUGUAGCGGUGAAAUGCGUAGAUAUUAGGAGGAAAACCAGUUGCGAAGGCGGCUCACUGGACUGUAACUGACACUGAGGCACGAAAGCGUGGGGAGCAAACAGGAUUAGAUACCCGAGUAGUC
rnacentral:rRNA from 1 species